rnacentral:rRNA from 1 species
UGGGGAAUAUUGCACAAUGGAGGGAACUCUGAUGCAGCGACGCCGCGUGAGUGAUGAAGGAAUUCGUUUCGUAAAACUCUGUUCUAUGGGAAGAAAAGGACUGUACCAUAGGAGAAAGCUCCGGCUAAAUACGUGCCAGCAGCCGCGGUAAUACGUAUGGAGCGAGCGUUGUCCGGAAUUAUUGGGCGUAAAGGGUGCGCAGGCGGCUUUACAAGUUGGAUGUGAAAUAUUGUGGCUCAACCACAAACGUGCAUCCAAAACUGCAAAGCUUGAGUUAAGGAGAGGUAAGUGGAAUUCCUGGUGUAGCGGUGGAAUGCGUAGAUAUCAGGAGGAAUACCGGUGGCGAAGGCGACUUACUGGACUUAAACUGACGCUCAGGCACGAAAGCGUGGGGAGCAAACAUG